GUAAACUAUGAGUCAGUUUCCAAUGUUAGCUUAUACUUUGUGUCACAUAUCUUGUCAUACAUGUAUCCAAAUGUGUGUUGUGUUUUCCUUGCUUUCCCACCCCUCCCUCUUCUCCCAUCCCUCCCCCUUGCCCUCCUCUGUCCUUCUCAACCCGCCCGGCCAGCAGGCAGAUGGGUCCCCCCUAUAUAGAGCCGGGUUCUGCUCGAGGUUUCUUCCCUGUUAAAAGGGUGUUUUUCCUUGCCACUGUCGCCUUUGGGCUUGCUCUGGGGGUCAGGCAUAUGGGUUCUGUAAAGCGUCUUGAGACGAUUUGACUGUAAUUGACGCUAUAUAAAUAAAAUUGAAUUGAAUUGAA